CUGGGGACUUCUUGAUGGGCGCAGGUUUGCCUGGCAUCGUGCUGACAGACGGCCAGUUCCUCUGGAUGAAGAAGCCAGCAGGGGUUUAGAGUGUAGCCUGGAGAGUGGGAUCCAGACUGCCUUCCCGUUCUGGAGACUCGAUGCAAUUGGCCGACUCCUGGAGCUUCAGCAGCAUGGCCAUCUGUGGAGCAGGAAGAAGCAGGCAGACGGGUCUGACUCCAUUGUGCUGGGUGGAGGUGUAUCUUUGGGGGGCUUCUUCUCCUCGCUGGGUGGACCUAUACUGGGGGGAGGU